AAUCAACAGUGAUCUUCUUUAGAUUCGUGUCGUCGAGCUAUCCAUCAACUGUAGUUGGUGCGGCCUAUUGUCCUGUAGUUGCGACGAAUUGUCGGAUUUGCUGUCAAUCUAUUGAGGUUCGGGCACGAGGUGCUGCAGGAUUGGUCCUGAAAUAGCUGCUGCGUUGUCAUGAGAACCUGCGUCGCUCAAGUACGUUCUGAGAUUUGUGAAUGGUGAGACAAGCUGUCAAUCAAUCAUCUUUGCCCCGAGGCUUACAGCAGUUUCUGACUCGUUGGACUACUUGUCAAUUAUCGAGCACCCAGCUAUAAAUAAGGUCACUUGGGAUGUGAAAGACAAUACAACGUGGAGGUGGAGGAACACAGCAGGCCAAGCAGCAUCAGAGGAGCAGGAAAGUUGACAUUUCAGAAGAGGACUGCUGCAGACAACAAAAGACUACAUAUGUAAAUUCAGUCCUGUUCGCAAAGUCCUGAGUGGGACCCAUGGAAUGUUGCGCCUGUAGAAUGUAAGGGGAACUUCAAACAAUGAGAGAGAGAUGUAACAGGACGACAUAAUUUAGGAUCAGAUAAUCUUCCUCAUUCAGCAGAAAGCCACAACUUGCAGAUAUUUUUUGAAUUUUGACUUUUAUGAAUAUACAAAAAAUAUUUAAAAAUUGACUGUAAUCCUGGUCUGCAUGUGCUACUGAAAGAAUGAAUGCUAAUGAACUGAGGCAUCCAUGUAUACUAACCUGGGUUCAAGUGCAUGUGUGCAUGAAGUUAAUAGCGAUAGGACCACAUUUAGUCGUGCUUGUAUUGCAGAUAAAAGGACUCUGCAGUCCUUUGUGCUGCCAGUAAACCCAUGGUGAGAGAAAACAGGUCAAAAGGAUGUCAACUAACUGUAAAAGCCAAAAAUUGCUAAAUCAACUGUUCAGAUAUCUAUUUUCCACUAUCUAUUCUUCACAAGACACCCAGAGAGACUGAUCCAUAUAUCUUUUAACCUUUUUGGACUCACUUCCUGUUCUUAAUCUCUGUGUAUCUGUGUUGCUUUAUUAUUCUUCUCAUGUUCAGUAACUAAUAAAUUGGCAUUUUCAUUAACUCAAAGAUGGUUAUAUUGACUCCCUUUUAAACAUUGUUCCUUUCGUCUGGGAGAAAGUUGUGCUUUUUAAUUGAAUCUUGUUCUGAAUGACCAUGGAGGCAGGUGAUUAAAGAAAGGGAGCCAGUUGUCCAUAUGGAAACUUUGCUUUGGAUUUGAUCAUUACACCAGGUAAAAAUUAAAAAUGAUGUAUGGUUCCAUGAAAAGUAGACAUUGGGACAUCGCAGCCAUUAUGUUGCAUGAUGCAGUAGCACUGAUGUUGGUCGAUGAGCAGCUGAUUUCAAGAUGCUAAGCUAAACACACCUUUGCAUAUAUCUUUUGAUUGUGGUUUCCCUUGCCUUUAGGUUCCCAGCAAAAGAGAGAGACUUCUCUUUCUAUCGUCAAUGUAAUGAUCCCUAAAAGGUUUUCUUAGUUGGAUCCUAACAGCACACACUUUCACCCACUAACAUACACAAACCAGGAUUCAAACUGGCUUUUAACCCCUGUUCAUGUAUUCUUGAAAGGGGAGUACACAAAAAUGUCUCUCACUCAGAUACUCUCUUUGCUCUCAUCAUUUUCACAAUCAGAGAUAACUCAUAGAUUACAGUUCAGUUUGAAGUGCAUUUCAUCCUUUUGAAAUCCUUGUUUUUGAAGCCUCCUUGGCUCUUGUUAGUUGUGACCUUUCGUGGUACCCUGGGAAAUUGGGAAAAUCCACACAGAUCUUUCAGACAGUCUCUGGAUUACAUUGCACAAAAUUUACAUUCUCAGUCAUUUUUCUAAUCAACACGUGUUGUAAUUAUAGUUCAAUAUAUCAGUAAUUAAAACAUGGCUAUGAUCUAUCACCAUAGUUAGUGCUAAAACCGUCAUCUGUGCCUUUGAUACUUGCAGCCUUGAUUAUUUCAAUACUUCUCUGAUAGAUUGCAAUCUUCAUAAACUUUAAUGUAUUAAAAACACCACCAAGCUUGUUCACCUCUGUGCUUGCUGACCUAUAUUGGCUCCCUGUCCAUCAACAUCAUAAUUCUCAUCUAAGUUUUGAAUUUCCUCAAGACUUUCCUCCAUAUCUCUGUAACCUUCUCCAAGCAUCAAGAAGGGACAGAUAAUAUUCAUUACACACAAGUGGCAGGCAAUGACCAUUUCCCACAUGACAGAAUCUAACCAUUUUGCCUAGAUAUUCGAUGGCAAACAUUGCUCAAAUCCCUCAGUUAACAAAAAAAACUUUGAUUUGAUUUGAUUUGAUUUAUUUAUUGUCACGUGUAGCUAAGAACAGUGAAAAGCUUUGUUUAUGAGCAGUGGAGGCAGGUCAUAAUAACCAAGGACAUACGGAUCAUAGGAUAAAAAAAAAAUUAAACAGAGGCAUACAGUUUAUGAAGUAUAGGCUGUACGCUAGGCAAGAUCAAUAAUAGUAAGAUCAGCAUUAUUUGGAGUUAGAGAGUCCAUUCAUCAGCCCAAUAUUGAACAGGAAGAAGCUGUUCCUGAACCAGCUGGUGCAUGUGUUCAAGCUUCAGUAACUUCUGCCUGAUGGAAGAGGUUGUACGAGAGCAUCGCCAGGUGUGAUGGGUCUUUGAUGAUGCUGGCAGCCUUUUGCAGCAACAAGCCAUGGAGACAGAUGAAGGAUUCCAGGCCUGCUGUACCAAACCUGGCCACCACAAACCACAACCUGCAGUGCCGUAAAAGUGAAAUGAAAGAACAUUUAAUCACUCUUAGACCUGUUCUGCUCAGUCCACGUGGGGGAAGCAACAUGCAACUGUUUAUAAGUGACAAGGUUCUCAAAUGAAAAUGCAUAUACAAAGAAUAAAAGGAGAGAAGGGUGGGUUCUAUUGUUAAACA